GACGAACCGUGCGAACGUUGUUCGGAAUCACUGGGCUUAAAGAGCGCGUAGGCGGGUCUUCAAGUUUGGGGUGAAAUCUUCCGGCUCAACCGGAGAACUGCCUCGAAUACUGAAGGUCUCGAGGGGGAUAGGGGCAUGCGGAACUACGGGUGGAGCGGUGAAAUGCGUUGAUAUCCGUAGGAACUCCGGUGGCGAAGGCGGCGUGCUGGAUCCCUUCUGACGCUGAGGCGCGAAAGCCAGGGGAGCAAACGGG
rnacentral:rRNA from 1 species